rnacentral:rRNA from 1 species
CCCUUAGAUGUUCUGGGCCGCACGCGCGCUACACUGAUGCAUCCAACGAGCCUAUCCUUGACCGACAGGUCCGGGUAAUCUUUGAAUCUGCAUCGUGACGGGGAUAGAUUAUUGCAAUUAUUAAUCUUCAACGAGGAAUGCCUAGUAGGCGCAAGUCAUCAGCUUGCGUCGAUUACGUCCCUGCCCUUUGUACACACCGCCCGUCGCUCCUACCGAUUGGGUGUGCUGGUGAAAUGUUCGGAUCGGCCGUUUGUCGCGGUUUCCGCGUCAUGUGGCUGAGAAGUUCAUUAAACCCUCCCACCUAGAGGAAGGAGAAGUCGUAACA